AUUAAACGCUGGCGGCAUGCCUUACACAUGCAAGUCGAACGGCAGCACGGGGGCAACCCUGGUGGCGAGUGGCGAACGGGUGAGUAAAGCAUCGGAACGUGCCCUGGAGUGGGGGAUAACGUAGCGAAAGUUACGCUAAUACCGCAUAUUCUGUGAGCAGGAAAGCAGGGGAUCGCAAGACCUUGCGCUCUGGGAGCGGCCGAUGUCGGAUUAGCUAGUUGGUGGGGUAAAGGCCUACCAAGGCGACGACUCGUAGGCGGUCUGAGAGGAUGACU
rnacentral:rRNA from 1 species